AGGAAAAACAAGAAGCUAAGCUAGAGUGUGAGAUCUCAUCUAUCUUCCACUUGUUCUUGUUGCCUUGCUUUCUUGUCGGCUAACGCUUUCCUCUGAUGCCUUUAUUUUGCGAGCUUGGGAGAUGAUGUUGGUCCUUCGCCUUUUCUGAAUGCCAGUUUUCAUCACUUUGCUUGAUCUGCUGGGAACAUGACCCUCUUCUUUAAUUCUUCCAAUGGUUUCUUCAGUGGUAUCACAGUUUGUUAUGUUGGGCGUGCUAUAACGUUCCCAAACUGCUUUUUUUUAGACGCGUUCCUUCUUCCUUUUGAAUCGCGCUUGCCUUUGCAGCCUUCUGCUUCUUGGCGCUGGGGAUUUUGUUGUUUCCUGCUUGGGGAUCUCUAUUGUAGCCUUCCGUCUUCAGGUGGGGUUACCGAUUCCAAAAUCUAGAGCUAAAAGUAUUCCCGCAUUUUACUGGUGGGCGACCUAGAACUUAAAUGUAUUCCCGCAUUAUACUGGUGGGCGACCUAGAACUUAAACGUAUUCCCGCAUUAUACUGGUGGGCGACCUAGAACUUAAAUGUAUUCCCGUAUUAUACUGGUGG
rnacentral:lncRNA from 1 species